UACGUAGGGAGCAAGCGUUGUCCGGAAUCAUUGGGCGUAAAGAGCGCGUAGGCGGCCCUGUAAGUCCGUUCUGAAAGUCGGAGGCUCAACCUCCGAAAGCGGAUGGAUACUGCAGGGCUAGAGUCCGGAAGAGGCGAGUGGAAUUCCUGGUGUAGCGGUGGAAUGCGCAGAUAUCAGGAGGAACACCAACGGCGAAGGCAGCUCGCUGGGACGGUACUGGCGCUGAGGCGCGAAAGCGUGGGGAGCGAACAGG
rnacentral:rRNA from 1 species